rnacentral:rRNA from 1 species
AUUGAACGCUGGCGGCAUGCCUUACACAUGCAAGUCGAACGGCAGCGGACCUUCGGGUGCCGGCGAGUGGCGAACGGGUGAGUAAUAUAUCGGAACGUACCUUUCAGUGGGGGAUAACGUAGCGAAAGUUACGCUAAUACCGCAUAUUCUGUGAGCAGGAAAGCAGGGGAUCGCAAGACCUUGCGCUGAUUGAGCGGCCGAUAUCAGAUUAGCUAGUUGGUGAGGUAAAGGCUCACCAAGGCGACGAUCUGUAGCGGGUCUGAGAGGAUGAUCCGCCACACUGGAACUGAGACACGGUCCAGACUCCUACGGGAGGCAGCAGUGGGGAAUUUUGGACAAUGGGCGCAAGCCUGAUCCAGCAAUGCCGCGUGAGUGAAGAAGGCCUCGGUUGUAAGUACGUCUUUCUACGUCGUAGAAGAAAAGGAACGUAGC